rnacentral:rRNA from 1 species
GACGAACGCUGGCGGCGUGCUUAACACAUGCAAGUCGAGCGAUGAAGUUUCUUCGGAAAUGGAUUAGCGGCGAACGGGUGAGGAACACGUGAAGAAUCUGCCCUCCACUUUGGGAUAACACAGGGAAACCUGUGCUAAUACCGAAUAUUGAAACAUAAGUGGCAUCACUGAGUUUUGAAAGAAUUUCGGUGGAGGAUGACUUCGCGGCCUAUCAGCUAGUUGGUGAGGUAAUGGCUCACCAAGGCAACGACGGGUAGCCGGCCUGAGAGGGCCACCGGCCAGACUGGGACUGAGACACGGCCCAGACUCCUACGGGAGGCAGCAGUGGGGAAUAUUGGGCAAUGGAGGAAACUCUGACCCAGCGACGCCGCGUGCGGGAUGAAGGCCUUCGGGUUGUAAACCGCUUUCAGUAGGGAAGAAGCGAAAGUGACGGUACCUACAAAAGAAGCACCGGCUAACUAUGUGCCAGCCGCCGCGGUAA